AUACUUACCUGGCGGGGGAGAUACCAUGACCACGAAGGUGGUUUUCCUAGGGUGAGGUUUAUCUAUUGCACUCCAGAUGUGCUAACCCCUGAGAUUUUUCCAAAUGUGGGAAACCCCACUGCAUAAUUUGUGGCAGUGUGGAACUGCGUUCGUGCUCUCCCCU
rnacentral:snRNA from 1 species